GGGCGAAAGCCUGAUCCAGCCAUUCCGCGUGAGUGAAGAAGGCCUUCGGGUUGUAAAGCUCUUUCGCAAGGGAAGAACACUUACUUUCUAAUAAAGAGUGAGGUUGACGGUACCUUGAUAAGAAGCACCGGCUAACUACGUGCCAGCAGCCGCGGUAAUACGUAGGGUGCGAGCGUUAAUCGNAAUUACUGGGCGUAAAGCGUGCGCAGGCGGUUUUGUAAGUCAGAUGUGAAAUCCCCGAGCUCAACUUGGGAACUGCGUUUGAAACUACAAGACUAGAAUAUGUCAGAGGGGGGUAGAAUUCCACGUGUAGCAGUGAAAUGCGUAGAGAUGUGGAGGAAUACCAAUGGCGAAGGCAGCCCCCUGGGAUAAUAUUGACGCUCAUGCACGAAAGCGUGGGGAGCAAACAGGAUUAGAUACCCUGGUAGUCCACGCCCUAAACGAUGUCUACUAGUUGUUGGUGGAGUAAAUCCAUGAGUAACG
rnacentral:rRNA from 1 species